UUUUAUGGCACUUUUUAAUCCAUAUCCACCUUGUGUGCAAUGUCAGUCGUUCUCUUUUUUGAGAGCGACCAAACAUCAACUUAUUCUUUAACUCUUUGUCUGAAAAAUAUUAUGAAUAAAAUAAUUCAAAAUACAACUUUCAACAACGGAUCUCUUGGCUCUCGCAUCGAUGAAGAACGCAGCGAAAUGCGAUACGUAAUGUGAAUUGCAGAAUUCAGUGAAUCGUCGAAUCUUUGAACGCAUAUUGCGCUCUUUGGUAUUCCGAAGAGCAUGCUUGUUUGAGUAUCAGUAGACACCUCAAAGACUUCAAUUUGUUUUGAAUGGCUUUGGACUUGAGCAAUCCCAACACCAGUCUUUACGAUCGGUGGAGGGUUGCUUGAAAUGCAGGUGCAGCUGGACAUUCUCCUGAGCUAAAAGCAUAUUUAUUUAGUCCCGUCAAACGGAUUAUUACUUUUGCUGCAGCUAACAUAAAGGGAGUUUGACCGUAUUGGCUGACUGAUGCAGGAUUUCACAAGGGUCGGCAACGAUUCUUGUAAAACUCGAUCUCAAAUCAAGUAAGACUACCCGCUGAACUUAAGCAUAUCAAUAAGCGGAGGAAAAGAAACUAACAAGGAUUCCCCUAGUAAC
rnacentral:rRNA from 1 species